AACGCUGGCGGCGUGCCUAACACAUGCAAGUCGAGCGAGAAAAGGGUAGCAAUACUCUGAGUACAGCGGCGCACGGGUGAGUAACACGUGGGUAAUCUGCCCUGGAGUGGGGAAUAACACCGGGAAACCGGUGCUAAUACCGCAUACGAUCACGAUGUCUGCGGAUGUUGUGAUGAAAGGAGCAAUUCGCUCCAGGAGGAGCCCGCGGCUGAUUUGCUAGUUGGUGAGGUAAUGGCUCACCAAGGCUACGAUCAGUAUCCGGUCUGAGUGGACGGUCGGACACACUGGAACUGAGACACGGUCCAGACUCCUACGGGAGGCAGCAGUGGGGAAUUUUUGGCAAUGGGGGAAACCCUGACCAAGCAACGCCGCGUGGGUGAUGAAGUCUCUUGGGACGUAAAACCCUUUCGACGGGGAAGAAACCGCAAGGUUGACGGUACCCGUAGAAGAAGCCCCGGCUAACUCCGUGCCAGCAGCCGCGGUAAUACGGGGGGGGCAAGCGUUGUUCGGAAUUACUGGGCGUAAAGGGUGCGUAGGCGGUGCGCUAAGUCGGAUGUGAAAACUCUGGGCUCAACCCAGAGCCUGCAUCCGAAACUGGCGUGCUAGAGUUCUGGAGGGGGUAGCGGAAUUCCUGGUGUAGCGGUGAAAUGCGUAGAUAUCAGGGGGAACACCGGUGGCGAAGGCGGUUACCUGGACAGAAACUGACGCUGAGUGCACGAAAGCUAGGGGAGCAAACG
rnacentral:rRNA from 1 species